AGCGAACGCUGGCGGCAGGCUUAACACAUGCAAGUCGAACGGGCUUCUUCGGAAGUCAGUGGCAGACGGGUGAGUAACACGGGGGAACGUGCCCUUCGGUUCGGAAUAACUCAGGGAAACGUGAUCUAAUACCGUAUACGCCCUUGUGGGGAAAGUUUUACUGCCGAAGGAUCGGCCCGCGUCUGAUUAGCUUUUUGGUGGGGUAACGGCCUACCAAGGCGACGAUCAGUAGCUGGUCUGAGAGGAUGAUCAGCCACACUGGGACUGAGACACGGCCCAGACUCCUACGGGAGGCAGCAGUGGGGAAUAUUGGACAAUGGGCGAAAGCCUGAUCCAGCAAUGCCGCGUGAGUGAUGAAGGCCUUAGGGUUGUAAAGCUCUUUUGCCCGGGACGAUAAUGACGGUACCGGAAGAAUAAGCCCCGGCUAACUUCGUG
rnacentral:rRNA from 1 species